ensembl:miRNA eca-mir-9012 eca-mir-9012
GAGCAGCUCUGCCUGCCUGGCCAGUUCUUGGUGGGAAAGGACCCUUGUCUGUGUCGGCCCAGCGCCUCCCACUGAGUCCCUGGGUCUCUGAUGCAGCACCAGGCACCUUGGAAUGUGGGGAGCGGGUGCCCGGGGCUGCUGGACG